UACGGAGGAUGCGAGCGUUAUCCGGAUUUAUUGGGUUUAAAGGGUGCGUAGGCGGACGCUUAAGUCAGCGGUAAAAUUGCGGGGCUCAACCUCGUCGAGCCGUUGAAACUGGGUGCCUUGAGUGGGCGAGAAGUACGCGGAAUGCGUGGUGUAGCGGUGAAAUGCAUAGAUAUCACGCAGAACUCCGAUUGCGUAGGCAGCGUACCGGCGCCCAACUGACGCUGAAGCACGAAGGCGUGGGUAUCGAACAGG
rnacentral:rRNA from 1 species